GCGGGCGUGUCGGAACUGGUAGACGCAGCAGGUUUAGGUCCUGCCAUCGCAAGAUGUGGGGGUUCGAGUCCCUUCGCCCGUACCA
rnacentral:tRNA from 1 species